AUUAAUCACAAGCUUUCAUCUAGAUAAGUCUUUAUAUGUUGUUGCGGUGUUGGCCUUCUGCUACCUUCUGAGGGAUGGUAAUGGCUUGCUAUUCUUAGUUUAAUUAAUCGUUUGGUUUUAAAUUAAUAUGAUCUUGGAUUAUGGAUGUGAUGUUGAUGUAUUUGUUUUAGUUUGAUAAAUUCUGGAUUUUCUUUUGAGUGUUGAAAUAUUCUUCAUUUGGGAUAUGCUUGAGACCUUUUAUCAAUUUAUUAAAUAAAUUUAAUUCUACGAAAAUACUUCUAUGGGAACAUGCACCACCUGGCACAAACGUAAUGGGGCGGAAUAUCAUUGGCUAUUUUUUUAAUAAAACAUAAUGCUGAGAUAAUACCCCAAAUAUGUUGAAUAAUGCAAUUAGGUCAUCCAAAUUUAUUCAAACAAUGAAAACUGUAUGAUUCUGGUUUGUCCAUUUCAUGGAAUCUGUUUGACCGUGAUGAAUAAGUCUAACACAGUUCCCAUUCAGUAACAUGUGAACUAGUUAUAUUUUCUUAUAUAAAAACUGCGAUUUCCAAGAGUAAUAAAUAAAACUUCAUUACCCCUUGUAAUAUAUUUAAAGUACCUCUUCUGUUUUUCUACGAUUCUCUUAUAAAAAAACUACAAUUUCCAAUAAUUCAUGCACUAUCUUUGUGCUCCACUCUCCAAAAGUCAUCUUGAUGUCCUCUGUUAUCUCAAAUCCUCUACCAUGAUUCAUCAUCCCAGAUUAAAUUUCCAGAUUCCAGUAUUUUUAUAAAUAAUUACUCCUCACUUAUGCUACUCCAGUUGCAGCCAAGUUCAGUUCCAUGUCAUCGUUGAAGCUUAACUUGAGGGAUUCAAUGACCAAUUUUAUUUGAGAUAAAUCAAGAUCGAUCAGGCUGCUGCUUACUAAUUCCUAUAGAAUGAGAAAGGAGAGAUGCAUGCUAGCCACUCAGAGCAACAAAUUAAUCACAAGCUUUCAUCUGGAUAAGUCUUCAUCUGUUGUUGUAGUGUUGUCCUUCUCCUACCUUCUCAGGGAUGAUAAUGGCUUGCUAUUCUUAGUUUAAUUUAACCCCUUGGUUUUAAGUUAAUAUGAUCUUUGAUAAUGGGUGUGAUGUUGGUGUAUUUGGUUUAGUGUGAUAAAUUC
rnacentral:lncRNA from 1 species